rnacentral:tRNA from 1 species
GCCGGAGUGGUGAAAUGGCAGACACAGCAGACUCAAAAUCUGCCGAGGUUCACUCCUCGUGAGGGUUCAAGUCCCUCCUCCGGCACCA